CAGAGUUAGGGAGGGAAGGGGUGACUAGUGACAGAGGGAGGGGGUGACUAGGGACAGUCACCACCUCCCUCACUCUGUCACUGUGUCACCCCCUCCCUCUGUCACCAGUCAUCCCUUCCUUCCCUCACUCUGU